rnacentral:rRNA from 1 species
CAAUAAGCGGAGGAAAGAACCAACAGGGAUUCCCCUAGUAACGGCGAGUGAAGCGGGAACAGCUCAAAUUUGAAAUCUGGCCUUCGGGUCCGAGUUGUAAUUUGCAGAGGAUGCUUUUGGUGCGGUGCUUUCCGAGUUCCCUGGAACGGGACGCCUUAGAGGGUGAGAGCCCCGUACGGUUGGCCACCAAGCCUGUGUAAAGCUCCUUCGACGAGUCGAGUAGUUUGGGAAUGCUGCUCAAAAUGGGAGGUAUAUUUCUUCUAAAGCUAAAUACUGGCCAGAGACCGAUAGCGCACAAGUAGAGUGAUCGAAAGAUGAAAAGCACUUUGAAAAGAGGGUUAAAUAGCACGUGAAAUUGUUGAAAGGGAAGGGUUUAUGACCAGACCUUUUCUAGGGGGAUCAUCCGGUGUUCUCACCGGUGCACUUCCCCUAGUUGAGGCCAGCAUCGGUUUCUGUAGGGGGAUAAAAGCUUCGGGAAUGUGGCUCCUUCGGGAGUGUUAUAGCCCGUUGCAUAAUACCCUUACGGGGACCGAGGUCCGCGCUUCGGCUAGGAUGCUGGCGUAAUGGUUAUUAACCACCCGUCUUGAAACACGGACCAAGGAGUCGAACAUUUGUGCGAGUGUUUGGGUGUUAAACCCUCACGCGUAAUGAAAGUGAACGGAGGUGAGAGCCCUUCGGGGUGCAUCAUCGACCGAUCCUGAUGUCUUCGGAUGGAUUUGAGUAAGAGCAUAACUGUUCGGACCCGAAAGAUGGUGAACUAUGCGUGGAUAGGGUGAAGCCAGAGGAAACUCUGGUGGAGGCUCGCAGCGGUUCUGACGUGCAAAUCGAUCGUCAAAUCUGCGCAUGGGGGCGAAAGACUAAUCGAACCAUCUAGUAGCUGGUUACCGCCGA